GACGAACGCUGGCGGCGUGCUUAACACAUGCAAGUCGAACGGAAAGGCCCUGCUUUUGUGGGGUGCUCGAGUGGCGAACGGGUGAGUAACACGUGAGUAACCUGCCCUUGACUUUGGGAUAACUUCAGGAAACUGGGGCUAAUACCGGAUAGGAGCUCCUGCUGCAUGGUGGGGGUUGGAAAGUUUCGGCGGUUGGGGAUGGACUCGCGGCUUAUCAGCUUGUUGGUGGGGUAGUGGCUUACCAAGACUUUGACGGGUAGCCGGCCUGAGAGGGUGACCGGCCACAUUGGGACUGAGAUACGGCCCAGACUCCUACGGGAGGCAGCAGUGGGGAAUAUUGCACAAUGGGCGGAAGCCUGAUGCAGCAACGCCGCGUGCGGGAUGACGGCCUUCGGGUUGUAAACCGCUUUCGCCUGUGACGAAGCGUGAGUGACGGUAAUGGGUAAAGAAGCACCGGCUAACUACGUGCCAGCAGCCGCGGUGAUACGUAGGGUGCGAGCGUUGUCCGGAUUUAUUGGGCGUAAAGGGCUCGUAGGUGGUUGAUCGCGUCGGAAGUGUAAUCUUGGGGCUUAACCCUGAGCGUGCUUUCGAUACGGGUUGACUUGAGGAAGGUAGGGGAGAAUGGAAUUCCUGGUGGAGCGGUGGAAUGCGCAGAUAUCAGGAGGAACACCAGUGGCGAAGGCGGUUCUCUGGGCCUUUCCUGACGCUGAGGAGCGAAAGCGUGGGGAGCGAACAGGCUUAGAUACCCUGGUAGUCCACGCUGUAAACGGUGGGUACUAGGUGUGGGGUCCAUUCCACGGGUUCCGUGCCGUAGCUAACGCUUUAAGUACCCCGCCUGGGGAGUACGGCCGCAAGGCUAAAACUCAAAGGAAUUGACGGGGCCCCGCACAAGCGGCGGAGCAUGCGGAUUAAUUCGAUGCAACGCGUAGAACCUUACCUGGGUUUGACAUGGAUCGGGAGCGCUCAGAGAUGGGUGUGCCUCUUUUGGGGUCGGUUCACAGGUGGUGCAUGGCUGUCGUCAGCUCGUGUCGUGAGAUGUUGGGUUAAGUCCCGCAACGAGCGCAACCCUUGUUCACUGUUGCCAGCACGUUAUGGUGGGGACUCAGUGGAGACCGCCGGGGUCAACUCGGAGGAAGGUGGGGAUGACGUCAAGUCAUCGUGCCCCUUAUGUCCAGGGCUUCACGCAUGCUACAAUGGCUGGUACAGAGAGUGGCGAGCCUGUGAGGGUGAGCGAAUCUCGGAAAGCCGGUCUCAGUUCGGAUUGGGGUCCGCAACUCGACCUCAUGAAGUCGGAGUCGCUAGUAAUCGCAGAUCAGCAACGCUGCGGUGAAUACGUUCCCGGGGCU
rnacentral:rRNA from 1 species